rnacentral:lncRNA from 1 species
UGGGCGGAAGAAAAGAGUUAAUGGAGGUCUGAAGAACUGAAAAUGAUGAGGAAUCUUCAGGACCUAGGAAGCAAGUUGUGAGAGAGCUCAUUACGGAAAAUAAGAUAUGGUCUUAUAAUGGAAAAAAUUUGUUAUCUGAAACAAAUAUAACCACUCCCACAUUCCACAUAUUUAAAAAAAUUCUCAAGCCAUAAAAUUAUUACAAUAGAAAAUUCUGAUACUAAUUAACAGAUGCAUGUUACAUAAAAUUGCCUUGUUUGAUCCACCAAAUUACUACAUGGUAAAGUUCCUCAAUACUCACCUCUCCACAGUGUCUUGAGAAAGUAACUUUCAUGCCAGCCUUAUCAACUUGCUCAGUAC